ensembl:lincRNA
GAUCUGCCCAAUCCACCUUCCCCCUGCCCCAAGGGGCAGCUGCCAUGACCCUUUCUAUCCCACAGGGCAGCCUGGGAGAAGCCUGGUGCUUGCUUCCCCUCUCUAAGCCCACAGCCCUGGACCUGGAGGACACAUUCGUCAGACAGCCCUCCUGGUUCUCUUCCCACUCACCUGUAAACCCAGGUGCUUGCUGGCUCUGGCAAGAGGACCCUGGCAGUCUUGGUUUAAUUUGGGCAGCUAUAGCAAAAUACCACGAACUCGAGACUGAAAGUCCAAAAACAAGACACCAGAUGAUUCUCGGACUUGACCAGGAUGGCCUGAAUGUUCCCAUCAGCUUGGCUGAUGCUGCUUGGGCAGGCUUCUUCCUGACUCGAGGCACCUGA